rnacentral:ncRNA from 1 species
GAUAAACCGAUGAGCAGGAGUAAGUAAGAUUUUUCUAUCAUGCGCAGAGAGCUUCCGGCUGGUGUAAGGAAGCGUUGGUAAUAAAUCUGAAUGGACUUGCGAGGGCGGCUUGAAACCGGUAUUCCGUAUAGGCGGUUCUGUCUGAGAAGGCAGGGAAGGCGUAUACUGGCCGGAAGUAGAUACCGACGGGUUUCCUAUCCGUUACCAAGGGGAGGCACAUGUUAGUGUGUUACAGAGCGGAUGAAUUUUUUUAUUCAUCAAUCAGGGUGGUACCGCAGAAGAGAAAUUAUAGAGCUCCUGUCCCUCUU